GUGGGGUUUUAAUUUAGGAUUUAUUUAGAUUUAAUUUUAAAUUAGAAUUAAUGCAAGAAUAUAAUUUUGAAUAAUAGGCUCUCCUAAAGGUUAAUCGAUCUAUUCGUUCAGUGGUCUGUAAAAGAUAAGUAAUAAAUCAUUUUCUCAAGAUAUUUUAUAUUUAUUUUAAAAAUAAAUAUAAUUAUUUUUAAAAUUAUGCAUGAUUUAUGAAAUUAUGUUUUGAAUGAAAAGUGAUUCUGAAAUA
rnacentral:lncRNA from 1 species